UCCAGACUCCUACGGGAGGCAGCAGUGAGGAAUAUUGGUCAAUGGCCGCAGGGCUGAACCAGCCAAGUCGCGUGAGGGAUGACGGUCCUAUGGAUUGUAAACCUCUUUUGUCAGGGAGCAAAGGGCGCCACGUGUGGCGUUUUGCGAGUACCUGAAGAAAAAGCAUCGGCUAACUCCGUGCCAGCAGCCGCGGUAAUACGGAGGAUGCGAGCGUUAUCCGGAUUUAUUGGGUUUAAAGGGUGCGCAGGCGGAAUGUCAAGUCAGCGGUAAAAUUUCGGGGCUCAACCCCGUCGUGCCGUUGAAACCGGAGCGCUAGAAUUCCGAUGCCGUCGGAGGAAUGUGUGGUGUAGCGGUGAAAUGCAUAGAUAUCACACAGAACACCGAUUGCGAAGGCAUCUGACGAAUCGGAGAUUGACGCUGAUGCACGAAAGCGUGGGUAUCGAACAGGAUUAGAUACCCCCGUAGAC
rnacentral:rRNA from 1 species